GUCAGUAUUGACUGCAGGCGGCCGCGAUAUCGAAUUCGCGUGUCGCCCUUUACAAGUACCGUGAGGGAAAGUUGAAAAGCACUUUGAAGAGAGAGUUAAAGAGGACGUGAAACCGAUGAGAUGGAAACGGACAGAGCUAGCGUAUCUGGCCUGCAUUCAGCUUGUGCGGUCGCUACCGAUGAAUCGCUGAUCUCCAGAUUGGGACUGUUGACUAGUCGGUCGGUGGCUGUAUAGUGCAUUUGCAGGUGGAGUGCGUCGAGGCAUCCGGGAUGGCGGCAUGAACUCAGCUUUGAGGCCAGCUUGCUGGUACCCGGGCUGGGGGACUUUGUGCUGUUCGUUCUGGGUGUUCACACACAAUUGAAGGGGGCUUUGGUAGGGUGCCGAGCUGGGUGUCGGUGGCGGUCGCUUGCGACACGUACUGUGCACACAGUUCGGUCCUUGCCGAGCUCACUCCAUCUAUCUCGGCGUAAAAGCUGGUCAUCUUUCCGACCCGUCUUGAAACACGGACCAAGGAGUUUAUCGUGUGCGCGAGUCAUUGGGCGUUCAAAACCCAAAGGCGCAAUGAAAGUGAACGUUUCCGUUAGGAGCCAACGUGCGAUCCUGGUCACCACGGUGGCCGGGCGCAGCAUGGCCCCAUCCUGACUGCUUGCAGUGGGGUGGAGGAAGAGCGUACGCGGUGAGACCCGAAAGAUGGUGAACUAUUCCUGAGCAGGAUAAAGCCAGAGGAAACUCUGGUGGAAGUCCGAAGCGAUUCUGACGUGCAAAUCGAUCGUCUGACUUGGGUAUAGGGGCGAAAGACUAAUCGAACCAUCUAGUAGCUGGUUCCUUCCGAAAGGGCGACACGCGAAUUCGAUAUCAAGCUUCAGGACUGCAGCGAGCCUCAGA
rnacentral:rRNA from 1 species